rnacentral:lncRNA from 1 species
GGGAUAUUACAACUCUCCUCCCCUUUUAAGGAUUUUCGUCCUCGAAAAUAUUACCGGUAAACAGGUGUGGGUAUUGGUUUUUCAUAGUUUCUUCAGGUUCCCAUGUAGUCUCUUCUACCCCAUGCUUUUGCCACAACACUUUCACAAGUGCAACACUUUUAUUUCUUAGUUGUUUGACUUCUCGAGCUAAAAUCUUAAUCGGUUCUUCUUCAUAAGUCAU